ensembl:lncRNA
UGGGAGUACAAAUGCAAGGGAUCAAGUACUGAUUUUGUCCAAUGUAUCUUGUUUUCUUAUCAGGAGCAGUGUUGUUUGCUGUACUGGGAACCUUCGCAGCGCUCACUGUGCUGGUGCUGGCUGCAGGCUGCCGGAAGCUGAAUAUCUGCUCCACAACAAAACACCCCAGCGAUGCCUUCAGACCAGAGGUCUGCAGUCCCAGUUUCAUGACGUUGGUGUGAAACCACAGAAGGUUCAAAGCAAGAAUGAUAGCGAGAAAAAGGAAAGUAGUUUUGAGACGGGUUCUCAGAGCAGCUCUGUUAUUGGUCAACACCGAACACAGAAUCCACCAAAAUCAGGAACUCAAGAGUUUCGUGUCUAUGAAAACCUCUCCUGUUUGAGAAACACUGCAGGUUUGAGAUUCGCAAGUUGUCCACAGAAUCACAAAAGCCCAUCUUCAAUCUACAUUAAUGUUUUGCCUUAAGCAAUACCAGAUAAAAGAAGUCAUUACUGUUUGAAAUAAUGACUUUAAAAGCAUCCUCUGCAGAGAUCCACCUGUUUACUAGUCAGCAUUAUGCAGUCACUGACCUGACUAAUCAUUUACUUAUCAUGUGUGAAAUUUAAAUCCUUGGUUUGGGAUCUUUUGUAAAGAUUAAACCAAAACCUUUUGGGCCUUAAAUCCUUCUUUAGAUAUAUGUACAUGGCUUAUAGACUCAGAUACAAAGAUUGGGUCUUUACAUGUUUUCCACUUGAAAUCUUAUCAGAAAAUGGUGGGGUUGAGGGGGCUGCAACUUAAUAGAUCUUUAUCAGAAACUGACAGCACCAGGACUCCUAUGAGAGCAAUUUCAUGCGAUCAAUAAACAUGUAUCUGUAAAGCUCAUUUAAGAGCUCACAAGAAACCAGCUUUUGUUGUUUUUCAAGCAUUGUUAAGAAGUUGUCCAAUGUAUCAGUGCUCACCAUGACCUGUCACCUGCAGCAUACCUGUAAAAAAAAGACAUUUCAGAUCCUGGAUUCCCUCAGAUCUUGGAUCUCUGAGGUGUCAAUGAUCUUAAAGUAUUGUACAGACAGCCUGCAUGCCCCGUACAGGUCAGCACAUCUUCUCACCUGCAGACAGCCCGUAUCCACCUGCAGGUGUGACUGAGGCAUUAGGUCCUGGUAAAAACACGAUGAAAAUGUAUUAACAGCACAUUUGUGCAGAGGAGGCUCUUUGAGGUGGAUCCAUAAAUGUGCAAUUAAAACAAGAGAUAUCAUUGGUGUUCCAAGUUUAGCAAAGAGCUUGGCGAAACCAACAUUAAUAUGUUUAAAAACUAGUAUUAAUGUAAAUCCUCCAAUGACAUUCAUCCAAACUAAAUGCUUUUUUCACAUGUUUAUGUAAAGACGGAUCAAUAUUAUCCAGCAAUGCUUUGAUUUAGUGUAAUUCAUAUAAUUGAUGUAUUUUUCUCUGUAUUGACCUGUUGUGUUUCUCAUCGACAUUGUUCUGUCAGUAAAAUCCCUUACAUGUCAUCUGAUGACUGAAACAUUGUUGGCUGUGGACAUAGUUGUGGUUGUUUCUUGAAAUCUUCAUCAGUUUUGACUGUGAUCUUUUUCUUUUCUUUCUAUGUUAUCAAGUAUUUCGUUUGGAUUAACCAAAACCAAUGGCACU